GUGGGGAAUAUUGGACAAUGGGCGAAAGCCUGAUCCAGCCAUGCCGCGUGUGUGAAGAAGGUCUUCGGAUUGUAAAGCACUUUAAGUUGGGAGGAAGGGCAGUAAGUUAAUACCUUGCUGUUUUGACGUUACCGACAGAAUAAGCACCGGCUAACUUCGUGCCAGCAGCCGCGGUAAUACGAAGGGUGCAAGCGUUAAUCGGAAUUACUGGGCAUAAAGCGCGCGUAGGUGGUUCAGCAAGUUGAAGGUGAAAUCCCCGGGCUCAACCUGGGAACUGCCUCCAAAACUACUGAGCUAGAGUACGGUAGAGGGUAGUGGAAUUUCCUGUGUAGCGGUGAAAUGCGUAGAUAUAGGAAGGAACACCAGUGGCGAAGGCGACUACCUGGACUGAUACUGACACUGAGGUGCGAAAGCGUGGGGAGCAAACAGGAUUAGAAACCCUGGUAGUCC
rnacentral:rRNA from 1 species